UUGAUCUGGAAACAGUUUAAGGCUGUUGAGCUUGUAAAAUCAUGGGAUCUUGCUUUGUUCGAUUUACAAGGAUUAACAUGUUUGAUGCAAAUCUCUACCAGAACCGAGGACAGGACAGGUUUAUGUCUGCAAUUGCAAUCAUUUUGACACAGGACAGAGGCUCAAGGGUGCUAAAGCUGGAGAGAAAGAGUCUCGAAUUUCUUCUGAAGCAUUAUUGUGGAGUUGCUGCAACCAAAGAAUACCAAAAUGCAGGCAGACUGGAGAAUACGACCCCUUUCGGAUGUAAUGACAAGGUU